rnacentral:rRNA from 1 species
UACGUAGGGUGCGAGCGUUGUCCGGAAUUAUUGGGCGUAAAGAGCUCGUAGGCGGUCUGUCGCGUCGAUCGUGAAAACUUGGGGCUUAACCCUGAGCUUGCGGUCGAUACGGACAUGACUGGAGUUCGGCAGGGGAGACUGGAAUUCCUGGUGUAGCGGUGAAAUGCGCAGAUAUCAGGAGGAACACCGGUGGCGAAGGCGGGUCUCUGGGCCGAUACUGACGCUGAGGAGCGAAAGCGUGGGGAGCGAACAGG